rfam:Turnip yellow mosaic virus genome
UAAGUUCUCGAUCUUUAAAAUCG